GACGAACGCUGGCGGCGUGCUUAACACAUGCAAGUCGAACGGAAAGGCCCUGCUUUUGUGGGGUGCUCGAGUGGCGAACGGGUGAGUAACACGUGAGUAACCUGCCCUUGACUUUGGGAUAACUUCAGGAAACUGGGGCUAAUACCGGAUAGGAGCUCCUGCUGCAUGGUGGGGGUUGGAAAGUUUCGGCGGUUGGGGAUGGACUCGCGGCUUAUCAGCUUGUUGGUGGGGUAGUGGCUUACCAAGGCUUUGACGGGUAGCCGGCCUGAGAGGGUGACCGGCCACAUUGCGACUGAGAUACGGCCCAGACUCCUACGGGAGGCAGCAGUGGGGAAUAUUGCACAAUGGGCGGAAGCCUGAUGCGGCAACGCCGCGUGCGGGAUGACGGCCUUCGGGUUGUAAACCGCUUUCGCCUGUGACGAAGCGUGAGUGACGGUAAUGGGUAAAGAAGCACCGGCUAACUACGUG
rnacentral:rRNA from 1 species